rnacentral:rRNA from 1 species
GACGAACGCUGGCGGCGUGCCUAAUACAUGCAAGUUGAGCGCUGAAGGUUGGUACUUGUACCGACUGGAUGAGCAGCGCACGGGUGAGUAACGCGUGGGGAAUCUGCCUUUGAGCGGGGGACAACAUUUGGAAACGAAUGCUAAUACCGCAUAAAAACUUUAAACACAAGUUUUAAGUUUGAAAGAUGCAAUUGCAUCACUCAAAGAUGAUCCCGCGUUGUAUUAGCUAGUUGGUGAGGUAAAGGCUCACCAAGGCGAUGAUACAUAGCCGACCUGAGAGGGUGAUCGGCCACAUUGGGACUGAGACACGGCCCAAACUCCUACGGGAGGCAGCAGUAGGGAAUCGUCGGCAAUGGACGAAAGUCUGACCGAGCAACGCCGCGUGAGUGAAGAAGGUUUUCGGAUCGUAAAACUCUGUUGGUAGAGAAGAACGUUGGUGAGAGUGGAAAGCUCAUCAAGUGACGGUAACUACCCAGAAAGGGACGGCUAACUACGUG